rnacentral:rRNA from 1 species
AUUGAACGCUGGCGGCAGGCCUAACACAUGCAAGUCGAACGAGUGGCGGACUGGUGAGUAAUGUCUGGGAAACUGCCUGAUGGAGGGGGAUAACUACUGGAAACGGUAGCUAAUACCGCAUACUAUGCGAUCAGCCUAGGUGGGAUUAGCUAGUUGGUGGGGUAAAGGCCUACCAAGGCGACGAUGCGUAGCUGGUCUGAGAGGGUGAUCGGCCACACUGGGACUGAGACACGGUCCAGACUCCUACGGGAGGCAGCAGUAGGGAAUAUUGGGCAAUGGGCGAAAGCCUGAUCGAGCAAUGCCGCGUGUGUGAAGAAGGUUUUCGGAUUGUAAAGCUCUUUUGUUAGAGAAGCGGUACCAAAAGAGAAAGCCACGGCUAACUACGUGCCAGCAGCCGCGGUAAUAC